CUUCUUGUGCUCAACAUAAAUUAAAAUUGGAACAACACAGAAAAGAUUAGCCUGGUCCCCCCACAAGGAUGACAUGCAAAUUCCCGAAGCGUUCCAUAUUUUU
rnacentral:snRNA from 14 species